GAUGAACGCUGGCGGCGUGCCUAAUACAUGCGAGUCGAGCGAACAGACGAGGAGCUUGCUCCUCUGACGUUAGCGGCGGACGGGUGAGUAACACGUGGAUACCUACCUAUAAGACUGGGAUAAAUUCGGGAAACCGGAGCUAAUACCGGAUAAUAUAAUGAACCGCAUGGUUCAAUAGGGAAAGACGGGUUUGCUGGUACCUAUAGAUGGAUCCGCGCCGCAUUAGCUAGUUGGUAAGGUAACGGCUUACCAAGGCAACGAUGCGUAGCCGACCUGAGAGGGUGAUCGGCCACACUGGAACUGAGACACGGUCCAGACUCCUACGGGAGGCAGCAGUAGGGAAUCUUCCGCAAUGGGCGAAAGCCUGACGGAGCAACGCCGCGUGAGUGAUGAAGGUCUUCGGAUCGUAAAACUCUGUUAUUAGGGAAGAACAAAUGUGUAAGUAACUAUGCACGUCUUGACGGUACCUAAUCAGAAAGCCACGGCUAACUACGUG
rnacentral:rRNA from 1 species